UUUUUUUUAUUACAAGUGAUCACUGGCUUGUGAUAUUACUCAGUUGUUAACAAUUAAAUGAAAGAUUUUGUUUCCUAGAAAAAAAAAAACUACCUCUGGAAUGUUUAUGUACUGGGUGCAUCUGCCAUCUGUUUUAUGCACUCUGUGUGAAGGGAAAAACUCAGAAUCUCAGCUGCCUUUAACAUUAAAAAUUCUGCAAGUGAGCGGUAACCAGUGAAGUGUGACACAAGGUCAAUAGUUCAUUUAGCUCAAUACUGUUUGUUGAAUAUGGUGCUCAAUACAAUGUUACAUAAACUUUAAAGACUGUGCUAUGUUAGUAGACAAUAGCCAUUAUCAGUUUAUUUUACUGACUUUGUAAGGCAUUUUUUUGGUCCAAAAUGUUUGAAAUCUUGAACACCUGUAGAUAUUUUUUUGAAAAAAGUUGUCCUUAAAACUACUGUAAUAUAUUUGGACACUGUUUGAUAAUUUAUUACUACUUUUUUUCUGCUUGAGUUUAACACAAGAUUUGUAAAAUUGUAAUUUCUGUUGUAUACAAUCAAUCUAGUCUGUUAAUAUUGAGUUGCUUUGAGCAAUGUUGGACAAUCUCAUAGAGAUGAUGAUGAACUGUUGAGGAGUAGUCUGACAAUACGAGGGGGUAUUUAUUCAGCUGGGGGGAAUCUGAACACGAAGCCAAGAGACCAGUGUCUUUGUCACUUGGACUGGUGCUUAUUGUGACAUAUUUUGCAACAGGUUUCAUGGUGCAUGUAACUUGAAGUACAUUUUAUGUUGAAACUGAAUUGGAAAAAAAAAGAAUAAAAAGAAACUGAAAUGAAAAAAAAAAUAAAGAAAAAAUAUUUGAAA
rnacentral:misc_RNA from 1 species